rnacentral:rRNA from 1 species
UCUGACUCAGAUCAGGUAGGACUACCC